GACGAACGCUGGCGGCGUGCUUAACACAUGCAAGUCGUACGGUAAGGCCCUUUCGGGGGUCCACGAGUGGCGAACGGGUGAGUAACACGUAAGUAACCUGCCCACAACUUUGGGAUAACGCUAGGAAACUGGUGCUAAUACUGGAUAUGUGCCCCUGCUGCAUGGUGGGGGUUGGAAAGCUCCGGCGGUUGUGGAUGGACUCGCGGCCUAUCAGCUUGUUGGUGGGGUAGUGGCCUACCAAGGCGGCGACGGGUAGCCGGCCUGAGAGGGUGACCGGCCACAUUGGGACUGAGAUACGGCCCAGACUCCUACGGGAGGCAGCAGUGGGGAAUAUUGCACAAUGGGCGCAAGCCUGAUGCAGCAACGCCGCGGGCGGGAUGACGGCCUUCGGGUUGGAAACCGCUUUCAGCAGGGACGAAGCUUUUUGUGACGGUACCUGCAGAAGAAGCACCGGCUAACUACGUG
rnacentral:rRNA from 1 species